UUAAGUGUUUCUUAAAUAGCACAAAUUUGUGUCAGUGGAUUUAUAUUUUAAUACAGUAAAUAUUUUUAAAGGCCAUAUUCUCAAAAUGAGUGUUUUUUUCUCUCUUUCUCUGAGCCAUACAGUAAAUCUCUGCUUGAGCAGCACUUACAAACCUCACAUUUGUAUUCUGAAGGGUUUUAGACGCAAAUGUGCAUACAUAAUUUACCUGAUUAUAUUAUAUUAUAACAUUUUACUCUACAAAACCAUGAAAAUUCCUUCUUUUUCUGGCUAGGUUACGGUUAUUAUUGGAGUGAUAAAAAAAGAGUGUCAAAAUCCUUUCUUUUAAUAGAAAAAAUUAAACAAUUGAACCUGACUUAAUCCAAUGUUAGUUUGUUUUUUCUGAUAUUAAUAUUUAAGGAUUAUCUGAAAGCUGAAUAAAUAAGCUUUUCAUUGAUGUAUGGUUUGUUAUGGUAAAAUAUUUGGCAGAGAUACAACUAUUUAAACGUCUGGAGUC
ensembl:processed_transcript